rnacentral:tRNA from 1 species
AAACUAAUAURAAUUUAUUUUGAAAAUAAAUUUGAAGAUAAAAUCUUGUAGUUUU